GAUGAAGAACGUAGCGAAAUGCGAUAAGUAGUGUGAAUUGCAGAAUUCAGUGAAUCAUCGAAUCUUUGAACGCACAUUGCGCCCCUUGGUAUCCCGAGGGGCAUGCCUGUUCGAGCGUCAUUUCACCACUCAAGCCUGGCUUGGUGUUGGGCGACGUCCUCUUUGGGGACGCGCCUCGAAACGCUCGGCGGCGUGGCACCGGCUUUAAGCGUAGCAGAAUCUUUCGCUUUGGAAGUCGGGGCCCCGUCUGCCGGAAGACCUGCUCGCAAGGUUGACCUCGGAUCAGGCAGGGAUACCCGCUGAACUUAAGCAUAUCAAUAAGCGGAGGA
rnacentral:misc_RNA from 1 species